GUUUUAAUAAUUUAAUAAAAUACUGGUCUUGUAAACCAGAAAUAAGAUUAACCUCUUUUAAAACU
rnacentral:tRNA from 1 species